rnacentral:rRNA from 1 species
GAUGAACGCUGGCGGCGUGCCUAAUACAUGCAAGUCGAGCGAACGGACGAGAAGCUUGCUUCUCUGAUGUUAGCGGCGGACGGGUGAGUAACACGUGGAUAACCUACCUAUAAGACUGGGAUAACUUCGGGAAACCGGAGCUAAUACCGGAUAAUAUUUUGAACCGCAUGGUUCAAAAGUGAAAGACGGUCUUGCUGUCACUUAUAGAUGGAUCCGCGCUGCAUUAGCUAGUUGGUAAGGUAACGGCUUACCAAGGCAACGAUGCAUAGCCGACCUGAGAGGGUGAUCGGCCACACUGGAACUGAGACACGGUCCAGACUCCUACGGGAGGCAGCAGUAGGGAAUCUUCCGCAAUGGGCGAAAGCCUGACGGAGCAACGCCGCGUGAGUGAUGAAGGUCUUCGGAUCGUAAAACUCUGUUAUUAGGGAAGAACAUAUGUGUAAGUAACUGUGCACAUCUUGACGGUACCUAAUCAGAAAGCCACGGCUAACUACGUGCCAGCAGCCGCGGUAAUACGUAGGUGGCAAGCGUUAUCCGGAAUUAUUGGGCGUAAAGCGCGCGUAGGCGGUUUUUUAAGUCUGAUGUGAAAGCCCACGGCUCAACCGUGGAGGGUCAUUGGAAACUGGAAAACUUGAGUGCAGAAGAGGAAAGUGGAAUUCCAUGUGUAGCGGUGAAAUGCGCAGAGAUAUGGAGGAACACCAGUGGCGAAGGCGACUUUCUGGUCUGUAACUGACGCUGAUGUGCGAAAGCGUGGGGAUCAAACAGGAUUAGAUACCCUGGUAGUCCACGCCGUAAACGAUGAGUGCUAAGUGUUAGGGGGUUUCCGCCCCUUAGUGCUGCAGCUAACGCAUUAAGCACUCCGCCUGGGGAGUACGACCGCAAGGUUGAAACUCAAAGGAAUUGACGGGGACCCGCACAAGCGGUGGAGCAUGUGGUUUAAUUCGAAGCAACGCGAAGAACCUUACCAAAUCUUGACAUCCUUUGACAACUCUAGAGAUAGAGCUUUCCCCUUCGGGGGACAAAGUGACAGGUGGUGCAUGGUUGUCGUCAGCUCGUGUCGUGAGAUGUUGGGUUAAGUCCCGCAACGAGCGCAACCCUUAAGCUUAGUUGCCAUCAUUAAGUUGGGCACUCUAAGUUGACUGCCGGUGACAAGCCGGAGGAAGGUGGGGAUGACGUCAAAUCAUCAUGCCCCUUAUGAUUUGGGCUACACACGUGCUACAAUGGACAAUACAAAGGGCAGCGAAACCGCGAGGUCAAGCAAAUCCCAUAAAGUUGUUCUCAGUUCGGAUUGUAGUCUGCAACUCGACUACAUGAAGCUGGAAUCGCUAGUAAUCGUAGAUCAGCAUGCUACGGUGAAUACGUUCCCGGGUCU